AUCCUAUGAUCCCUAUUUAGUUUAUAUAGAUAGUUUAUGAUAAACUACCAUAUGAAUGACUAUAAUGGCAUCUUAUCUGAAUUGUUCAAAUUAUUACUAACAAAAGAACCUUGAAAAGUUCAAAGGUAUAUACCUGGAGAGCCUAAAGAAACAAAAAUAUGCCUUGAGUAGGCAUGUUGAAAUUGCUCAAUACUAUAUUUACAAUUUUUUCUUCUCUCAGUUG
rnacentral:lncRNA from 1 species